ACGCUGUGUUUGCUCCAUACAUGCAGAUCAUGACGUGGCUGAUGCCGUCCUCUCUGACCUGCUGUGGUAAAUAUCUUGAUAAUCACCUUUUUCCAGGACUGAUGUGUGUGUGUCACUCACCUGUUUAAACUUCCUGGUUGACGUCCGUCACACUCGAAUCUUUUGUAUAAACUUUAAUAGUUAAACCAGAAACAUCUCUAUAUCUCUACCAGACUGGUAGAGGUGUUUCUGGUUAAAGGGUUAGAGAAGCAGUGAUCUCUUCAGUCAGUGUGAACAGGAGGAACAUCUCUUUAACCAAACAUACAGACAUCAUUAUGACUUUGGUGUUUGUUUCCAUAUGAAGGUCAAAGGUCAGCCACAGAGUCACACACCUGUUCAGUGCCUUGCUCAAGGACACUUCGUAAGGUUGAUGAAUCAACCCAAAGACUGGUUUGUGUUUACCCACGAGGCCGUUCUGCUGCUACUGAGUGUGUCAGUGUCUGAAUCAUUAAUAACCCUGAAGGUGAGAGAAUCAACAGAUUCAUAUUUAUAGUAGAAACCACUGAAACUCUGUUUCUGAAGUUUCUGAAGCUUCCUGUUCAGUAAAGAGACGGAGACACAGAAACCUGUCAUCAAGUCUUUGUUUUUCACUUCAUCGAUUCAGGUCUUAUUCUGCACAUUUAGGAUUAAGGACUUACACUUCUUAUGUUUUCAUUACUGUUAACUUCACUUUCAGGCAGCAAGGACUGACCUGACAAAGACCUGGAUUAUACAGAAACUCAUUUCCACUGAGAAAACAUUUGAAACGGAGUCAGUGUGGUAGUUUUCACCUGUUCAAACUACCUGGUAACACAGUCAUCAUCGGCUCCCACAUCUCAGAAGAAAAAAUCUUUGUUAUUUAACGAAAGAACACAACUAUCGGUCAUGAGUCAGUUUCACAAAAGUAGUACAAUUUAUGAAUAAAGUAAAAGAUAACGUAUAAAACGUGUCUAUCACGCAUAUUCAGUGGACCGCAUAAGGCGGGAGCCAGAACUCUUCUCAGUCUUUCAGCGCAUGCGCCAGGCGAGCAACUGAAAACCGAAUGGGCGCCAUUUUCGAUCCUGUAUCCAGCUCUAUUAAUACGCCACAUCUUCUCUCGAGCUUUACGGUGAAUGUAUUUUAACACCAAUCAGAAGCGGCUGCUAGGCGGGCCGGAAGUGACUGGCCAAUCAGCGUUUUUCUGCCAAUGUUAGCUGACGUAUUUCGUCAUAGGCGGCGACGUGUCUCGUCAUCGGUCAUGACCUUUUAGGAGGCGGAGAAAUGAAGCCGGAAAAGAGAUUUCAGUCGAGUUUGAACCGUUUCCUCGGUUUGUCGGUGCUGUGAGAAAACGUCGUUACCGGAGAGUCUGGAUGCUACAACAAACUGUGGAGCUGCUUUGUGUCGAACAUGAGUGAGACUGGAGGCUGAACACACCUGCAGCGUGAAGGUAAGGCUAACAGUUAGCGGCUAGCGUUAGCAUAAGUGUUAACAGCAGAGAGUUAGCACGAGCGGUGAGCGUUAGCAUUAGCAUGACCUUGUAAUGAUAUCGAUUAAUUCCAUUUUCAGUCGUUCAUAUCGCGGGGGUAAGAGUGUGUGUGUGUGACUAAGGUGUCCCUGACAUGAACACCUAACGCGGUGAGAACACAGUGGGCAGCGGUAAACUGUAAAACCCUGUUUGUGUUUGUUUACGUUUUACCGACAUUUUGUGUCUCUGUCAUUCUGUGUUCCAUCCUGGUCAUUUUAACUCCGUUAGUGGUGGAUUAUCAGGCCGUUGUCACCGCUUUGUGGUCAUUUUAUAUCAUUUUGUGUCUCUACCUGGCUGUUUACACCUAGGUGUUAGCAUUAGCAUGACAUGCUGCGGAGGCUGCUAACUGUUCAUCUGUGUGUCCCAGCUCCGUUAGCUUCUCUUCACUCACACACACUCCACUGCUUCUUUGUAAUGCUGAGCUCCAUCUCGGUCAGUUUGAGUCAGUUUAUGGAGGAUUAUCAUGUCACUGUGAUCAUGUUGUGUCUCUGUAGGUUUGUGUUUAUUCCAGGUCAUUGAACGUUUCUCUGUGGUCAUGGUGUGUUUCAGUGUGGAGGUUAAACAUCUCACUGUGAUCACUUUGCAACUCAGUUUAUUGUCUCUCUGUCGUUUUGUGUCUUUGUAGCUUUGUGGCAGUGAUCUGUCCACCGCCUCCAUUGAUCCCCUGUCGUAUAUAUUAUUGAUUAGAAAUCAGUUUGUGGUGACUCGAGUCUUCAUUGAGCUCAGUGUUAAAUCUGUCAGAGCAGGUCACAGUGUCUGAGCUCAGAUUAGAAAUUAUUAUAAAACGUAUUUUACAUUGAUUUUAUCUCAGAUGAAUAAAGUCAUAUUUUAGUAACAGAUUCAAUUUAUUCACCUGUGUUGGUUCUCGUGUUUAGUUUUCAGUGUUGUGUUCUUCUCCACAGCUCAGGUGUUGGAGGUGAACUGUUGUUUAUUAAUGAGCUUCUUUGUGUUUCAGGUGAUUUCCAGGUUCAGCUGCUGCAGCCUGGACACAAACACCUGCUCUCACCUGACAAACAGGUGUCACCACUUCGUCACUGACGUCGUCCACGAUCGCAGAGACAUGGUCCACGAUCAGAGAGACAUUGUUGAGGAUGAGGGAGACAUCGUCCACGAUCAGAGACAUUGUCCACGAUCGCAGAGACCUUGUCAAAGAUGAGAGAGACGUUGUCCAUGAUCAGAGACAUUGUCUCAUGCUUCGCAGAGCUCUGCGCAAGAAUCGGUAGAGACACUGUGGUUCCUCGAUUUGACGGCAUGACCGCGAUCAGGAGACAUUGUUAAUGAUCAGAGAGACACCGUCUAUGAUCUCAGAGACAUCGUCCACGAUCACAAAGACAUUGUCCAUGAUCACAGAGACUUUGUCUAUAAUCUCAGAGACAUUGUCCACGAUCACAGAGACGUAGUCCACGAUCACAGAGAGUCUUCGUACAGUGACGUUCUUUGAGACCAGGACAGAGGCCUCCAGGUGUCACCACUUCAUCCACAACAUCGUCCACGAUCGCAGAGACGUCGUCCACGAUCGGAGAGACAUGGUCCACGAUCAGAGAGACAUUGUUGAGGAUGAGGGAGACAUGGUCCACGAUCAGAGACAUUGUCCACGAUUGCAGAGACCUUGUCAAAGAUGAGAGAGACGUUGUCCAUGAUCAGAGACAUUGUCCCAUGCUUCGCAGAGCUCUGCGCAAGAAUCGGUAGAGACACUGUGGUUCCUCGAUUCGACGGCAUGACCGCGAUCAGGAGACAUUGUCGAUGAUCAGAGAGACACCGUCUAUGAUCUCAGAGACAUCGCCCACAAUCACAAAGACAUUGUCCAUGAUCACAGAGACUUUGUCUAUAAUCUCAGAGACAUUGUCCGUGAUCACAGAGACGUAGUCCACGAUCAAAGAGUCUUCGUACAAUGAAGAAGUUCUUUUAGACCAGGACAGAGGCCUCCAGGAGGAGGAGAAGACCACAUCACGAGAAGAGGACAACAAAAGUAGUUAAAUGUUCUUAAAGAUGUUUAGAGAUGUAUAAGACUUAAUUAAGCAUAUCUUUGUAUGUAUUCAUCAUUGCAUUAAAUGUGAGGUGAGAGAAUAAAACAAUGUGUCUCUAAGUGGUCGAACUUCUGUCAUUGUCUGUGGUUUGUUAUAUGUUGUCAAGAACAACAGAAUCAAUAAAGUUUUGUAACUUUGAGUUGAGUUUCUCUAUUUUGAGAUUAAUAUAAAACUAAUGGGUGGCUAAAAAAAACUAACCCUAACCCUAACCUCCAGCUUUUCUGCCACUUCUAGCCAGAGGUUAGGGUUAGGGUUACGUCUUUUAGCCACUCGUAGUUAAAGGUUAGGGUUAGGGUUAGAGUUUUUUUAACCAGUUGUUGCUGGAGGUUAGGGUUAGGGUUACGUUUUUUAACCACUCGUAGUUAAAGGUUAGGGUUAGGGUUAGAGUUUUUUUAACCAGUUGUUGCUGGAGAUUAGGGUUAGGGUUACGUUUUUUAACCACUCGUAGUUAAAGGUUAGGGUUAUGGUUAUGGCUUUUAGCCACCAGUGUCCAGAGGUUAGGGUUAGGGUUAGGGUUAGGGUUACGUUUUUUUAACCACUCAUAGUUAAAGGUUAGGGUUAGGGUUAGAGUUUUUUUAACCAGUUGUUGCUGGAGGUUAGGGUUAGGGUUAUGGUUAUGGCUUUUAGCCACCAGUGUCCAGAGGUUAGGGUUAGGGUUAGGGUUAGGGUUACGUUUUUUUAACCACUCAUAGUUAAAGGUUAGGGUUAGGGUUAGAGUUUUUUUAACCAGUUGUUGCUGGAGGUUAGGGUUAGGGUUAUGGUUAUGGCUUUUAGCCACCAGUGUCCAGAGGUUAGGGUUAGGGUUAGGGUUAGGGUUACGUUUUUUUAACCACUCAUAGUUAAAGGUUAGGGUUAGGGUUAGAGUUUUUUUAACCAGUUGUUGCUGGAGGUUAGGGGUUAGGGUUACGUUUUUUAACCACUCGUAGUUAAAGGUUAGGGUUAGGGUUAGGGUUAUGGCUUUUAGCCACCAUUGUCCAGAGGUUAGGGUUAGGGUUGUGUUUUCUGUUACUUUAACCUGUUACUGUAACCCAGUGGUUAAAAUAAUUGUAACUCUAACCUCCAGCUACAAAUGGUUAAAAGCCAUAAACCUAACCCUAACCUCUAGCUAAAAUUAUUCACUUUCAUACAAUAUUUAACAGACAGGUGAAAUAAUCAGAGUUCAGAAGUCUUUAUUUGAGUAAGAUAAUCCUUUAUUAGUCCCACAGUGAAAGGCAUGAUAUAAACAAGAUGACUGAAGAAAAAUGACUGACAAUAAUAAUAAAAAUGAUAAACAAUAUGAGCAGUAUAAACAGGACUACGUAACAUAGUAAUAGACUGACUCUGAGUACUGAUAUUGCACAGUUUGAAAUAAUAAAAUAGCAAAAUCAAAUGACAAAAACAAAAUCUUACCUUGCCCACAAACACUGUAUAGAGAUGUGAGUGAUUGAAUAUGUGUGUCUGCGGAGAACAAAGGUAAGGGGCCUGUUUUAAGAUAGUUCCUUUGUCUUAAGCCACAUGUCAUAGUAUAGUAAGGCAAUAGAAAACAUCAUAGUGUAGUAAGGCAUCAAAAAUGGUCAAAAAUGUCAUAGUAUAGUCGUCUGUUGUAGCAGUCUACCGAAAUGACGUAGCAAAUUCAUUUCAGUAGAAUAACAGUAGAAGAAAUAUUAGGAAAGGUAAAAACUGUCUCUAUCUAUUUGUCUAUUUCAUGAUUCAUGUUUAUCACUGAGAAAUAACUAUAAUAAUUACAGUAGGUUCUUAUUUUACAAACAGUUUCAGAAGUAUUUCUAGUCAUUACUGUGAAUGUAACAAUAGUAAAACAGACUAGAAUAUUUGAUACUGACUGAGUUGUAAAAAGGUUUGUUUGAAUCAUUGAAUAAGGAGAGUUUUGGAAAAGAAAAAUAGACGUGUUCUUGUCUCUGCAGGAGGAGAAGACGACAGCAGCUGAAGACCUGAAGUGGAUGAAAGAAAAAAGUGUUAUGAAGCUGUUAAAUGACCUCCACCAUCUAACUGCUGUGAACAGUGUUGGUUUCCUGUUGUUACAGUGAAAACACUGUUUCUCCACCAUCUGUAAAGUAGUCAUGGGCACAUUUUCCACACUCUGAUAUGUCUUUAUUAAACACCUGUGAGAACAUUCAACUAUUAAUUAAUAACUGUAUCAGGAACAGUUAAAAGAUAGUAGUAGACAUGUUUAACUUUGGGAAAUGUGCAUGAAUCCUAACCAGUUCUAACAACUGUUUCCUUGUGGUUAAAUGUCAUUAUCUUUUCUGUGGUUUGUUAAAUGUUGUCUGGA